rnacentral:rRNA from 2 species
UGAGGAAUAUUGGUCAAUGGUCGCGAGACUGAACCAGCCAAGUAGCGUGCAGGAUGACGGCCCUCUGGGUUGUAAACUGCUUUUAGUUGGGAAUAAAAGGCGGUACGUGUACCGCGUAUUGUAUGUACCAUCAGAAAAAGGACCGGCUAAUUCCGUGCCAGCAGCCGCGGUAAUACGGAAGGUCCAGGCGUUAUCCGGAUUUAUUGGGUUUAAAGGGAGCGUAGGCGGAUUUUUAAGUCAGUUGUGAAAGUUUGAGGCUCAACCUUAAAAUUGCAGUUGAAACUGGAAGUCUUGAGUGCACGCAGAGGUGCCGGAAUUCAUGGUGUAGCGGUGAAAUGCUUAGAUAUCAUGAAGAACUCCGAUCGCGAAGGCAAGUGCCUGGAGUGCUACUGACGCUGAGGCUCGAAAGUGCGGGUAUCAAACAGG